GUUUUCCUUAUUUUCUAUUUUUCUGUUUUAUUUUCUUUUAAUUCCAUUUAUUUUCAAAAAUUCAUAACUAUUUUAUUUGGAAUCACAAAAAUAUGAGACCAAUGGCAAAAAAAAAUCUUGAAAAAUAUAGUUUCAUAAUCUGAUUUUUAAUUAUUUUUGUGAUUCCAUUUAAUAUUUUUUGCGAAUUAUUUUGUUUUUAAUAGUUU
rnacentral:lncRNA from 1 species